GAGUUUGAUCGUGGCUCAGAUUGAACGCUGGCGGCAUGCCUUACACAUACAAGUCGAACGGCAGCACGGGAGCUUGCUCCUGGUGGCGAGUGGCGAACGGGUGAGUAAUGCAUCGGAACGUAUCCUGGAGUGGGGGAUAACGUAGCGAAAGUUACGCUAAUACCGCAUAUUCUGUGAGCAGGAAAGCGGGGGACCUUCGGGCCUCGCGCUCUUGGAGCGGCCGAUGUCGGAUUAGCUAGUUGGUGAGGUAAAGGCUCACCAAGGCGACGAUCCGUAGCAGGUCUGAGAGGAUGAUCUGCCACACUGGAACUGAGACACGGUCCAGACUCCUACGGGAGGCAGCAGUGGGGAAUUUUGGACAAUGGGGGCAACCCUGAUCCAGCCAUGCCGCAUGAGUGAAGAAGGCCUCGGUU
rnacentral:rRNA from 1 species